rnacentral:lncRNA from 1 species
UUGGUCUCUCCAACAUCAACACAUUUGAGAUCUCUAACCCUCUCUUCCAUUCUAAUUAUAAAAACUUUAAAAGGGCAGUUGUCGAUGCAUAUGUCUAUAAUAAAUAUUGCAGAUCUCGUUGAGUUGAUCUUGACAUAGGUCAGCGUUGGAAGGGAAACCACUUCGCCGACAUAAAUUGAUGGUUUCACAAGGACAAGCUUAGUGUCCUAAAAUAAGCACUGAUC